rnacentral:tRNA from 1 species
UGGGGUAUAGCUCAGCGGUGGAGCAUUUGCUUAGCAUGCAUGAAGCCCUUGGUUUGAUUCCUAGCACCACAA